rnacentral:rRNA from 1 species
AGAGUUUGAUCCUGGCUCAGGAUGAACGCUGGCGGCGUGCCUAAUACAUGCAAGUCGAACGCUUCACUUCGGUGAAGAGUGGCGAACGGGUGAGUAAUACAUAAGUAACCUGGCAUCUACAGGGGGAUAACUGAUGGAAACGUCAGCUAAGACCGCAUAGGUGUAGAGAUCGCAUGAACUCUAUAUGAAAAGUGCUACGGGACUGGUAGAUGAUGGACUUAUGGCGCAUUAGCUUGUUGGUAGGGUAACGGCCUACCAAGGCGACGAUGCGUAGCCGACCUGAGAGGGUGACCGGCCACACUGGGACUGAGACACGGCCCAGACUCCUACGGGAGGCAGCAGUAGGGAAUUUUCGGCAAUGGGGGAAACCCUGACCGAGCAACGCCGCGUGAAGGAAGAAGUAAUUCGUUAUGUAAACUUCUGUCAUAGAGGAAGAACGGUGGAUAUAGGGAAUGAUAUCCAAGUGACGGUACUCUAUAAGAAAGCCACGGCUAACUACGUGCCAGCAGCCGCGGUAAUACGUAGGUGGCGAGCGUUAUCCGGAAUUAUUGGGCGUAAAGAGGGAGCAGGCGGCACUAAGGGUCUGUGGUGAAAGAUCGAAGCUUAACUUCGGUAAGCCAUGGAAACCGUAGAGCUAGAGUGUGUGAGAGGAUCGUGGAAUUCCAUGUGUAGCGGUGAAAUGCGUAAAUAUAUGGAGGAACACCAGUGGCGAAGGCGACGAUCUGGCGCAUAACUGACGCUCAGUCCCGAAAGCGUGGGGAGCAAAUAGGAUUAGAUACCCUAGUAGUCCACGCCGUAAACGAU